rnacentral:rRNA from 1 species
UACAGAGGUCCCAAGCGUUGUUCGGAUUCACUGGGCGUAAAGGGUGCGUAGGUGGUUAGGUAAGUCCGAUGUGAAAUCUCCAGGCUCAACCUGGAAAUGGCAUUGGAUACUAUCUAGCUUGAGGAGUGGAGGGGGGACUGGAAUUCUCGGUGUAGCAGUGAAAUGCGUAGAGAUCGGGAGGAACACCAGUGGCGAAGGCGGCUACCUGGACCAGCAUUGACACUCAAGCACGAAAGCGUGGGGAGCAAACAGG